rnacentral:rRNA from 1 species
UGGUCAGGUAGAGAAUACCAAGGCGCUUGAGAGAACUCGGGUGAAGGAACUAGGCAAAAUGGUGCCGUAACUUCGGGAGAAGGCACGCUGGUGUGUAGGUGAAGUCCCUGCGGAUGGAGCUGAGACCAGUCGAAGAUACCAGCUGGCUGCAACUGUUUAUUAAAAACACAGCACUGUGCAAACACGAAAGUGGACGUAUACGGUGUGACGCCUGCCCGGUGCCGGAAGGUUAAUUGAUGGGGUUAUCCGUAAGGAGAAGCUCUUGAUCGAAGCCCCGGUAAACGGCGGCCGUAACUAUAACGGUCCUAAGGUAGCGAAAUUCCUUGUCGGGUAAGUUCCGACCUGCACGAAUGGCGUAAUGAUGGCCAGGCUGUCUCCACCCGAGACUCAGUGAAAUUGAACUCGCUGUGAAGAUGCAGUGUACCCGCGGCAAGACGGAAAGACCCCGUGAACCUUUACUAUAGCUUGACACUGAACAUUGAGCCUUGAUGUGUAGGAUAGGUGGGAGGCUUUGAAGCGUGGACGCCAGUCUGCGUGGAGCCAACCUUGAAAUACCACCCUUUAAUGUUUGAUGUUCUAACGUUGGCCCCUUACCGGGGUUGCGGACAGUGUCUGGUGGGUAGUUUGACUGGGGCGGUCUCCUCCCAAAGCGUAACGGAGGAGCACGAAGGUUAGCUAAUCCUGGUCGGACAUCAGGAGGUUAGUGCAAUGGCAUAAGCUAGCUUGACUGCGAGCGUGACGGCGCGAGCAGGUGCGAAAGCAGGUCAUAGUGAUCCGGUGGUUCUGAAUGGAAGGGCCAUCGCUCAACGGAUAAAAGGUACUCCGGGGAUAACAGGCUGAUACCGCCCAAGAGUUCAUAUCGACGGCGGUGUUUGGCACCUCGAUGUCGGCUCAUCACAUCCUGGGGCUGAAGUAGGUCCCAAGGGUAUGGCUGUUCGCCAUUUAAAGUGGUACGCGAGCUGGGUUUAGAACGUCGUGAGACAGUUCGGUCCCUAUCUGCCGUGGGCGCUGGAGAAUUGAGGGGGGCUGCUCCUAGUACGAGAGGACCGGAGUGGACGCAUCACUGGUGUUCGGGUUGUCAUGCCAAUGGCACUGCCCGGUAGCUAAAUGCGGAAGAGAUAAGUGCUGAAAGCAUCUAAGCACGAAACUUGCCCCGAGAUGAGUUCUCCCUGAGACUUUAAGUCUCCUGAAGGAACGUUGAAGACGACGACGUUGAUAGGCCGGGUGUGUAAGCGCAGCGAUGCGUUGAGCUAACCGGUACUAAUGAACCGUGAGGCUUAACCUU